ACUCCAUAACAACAAUAUGGCUGAACCGAAUCGUUUGUGGCGGACUUGAAAAAAAAAAAUAAUAAUACACACAGACACCUAUAUAUCUUUCUCACUCACUCACUCUCUCUGUGCUGGCAGGACAGUCUACGCCUUCUUCUUCUUCAUCAUCAUCUACAUCGUUCGUUUGCUUCGCUAGUCGUCGAUGGUAUCACCGUUUACUUGCUUAUUAUUUGAUAUAAUAUAUUCCCCAUGUUUCUGUAUAAUCUCUGCUUUUGAUAUUUUGCCCUGUUUUUUUGUUUCUCUCUCUCUCUCUUCUCCUCCCCCAUUAAUGUUCCGAUUUAUGUCUAUUCUAUGUAAAUGUGUUGUUUCUGUCAUUCGUGAUGCCGUCAGUAGCAGCAGACCAGCCCAUUGCGUCCAAUGUUCCUUCCACCCGUACCGCUUCUUUUCCUCCUUCCUCUUUUAACACCUGUAACCACCACGUAAUCGAACCCGGGACAUUCUCCGCGGUUCUCUAUCCUUUCCUCUGCUCUACUCCUACGACUGGAACGAGUUUUUGUUGUGGUGGUGGGAGCUGCACUGGUCGAAAAAACAGGCCCUGUGUAUCGUCUUCGUCUUCGUUCCUGUGGUCCUCGUCGUCAAGAAGCAUUGUUGCUGCACUUUAUAGACUUCGAUAUUUGCUGUUGUCGUCUUCCCACCUAUCCUUCUUCUUCUUCUUCUUCUUCUUCUUCUUCGUCUCUUCCUAUCUAUUUCUGCCCGUUGUGCAGCCAACGACGUCAACAUCACCAUUAACAACAACAACAACAAAAACAUCACCGCCGCCGCCGCCGCCACUCUCACCUAUUCCACUACCACCACCACCACCACCAACAUCAUCAACAACAACAAUAACUGCAACGGCUACAACUGUCGUAACACAACUAGUAGUAGAAGUAGUAGUAGUAGUAGUAGUAACAACAGUCACGUUAGUAUCGAUAAUAGCAGCAGCAGAAGAAAAAGAAGGAAAAUACUACAAUUCUGGCGCACCAACAACAUGUGGAUGAAACAUACGAAAUGGCAAUAUCGCUGUUUGGCGUACCUCAAUCAGUUUUUCACCGGCUACGCCCUGAUGGCAUGGACCGGUUUUUUCCUAUUUUUGGGCGUAUUUUACAAUGAAUGGAAACCUUUAAUUUCCUAUAUAGUGGGCAUCAUUCCAGCCAUGGUGAUCUGUUUUCAUGUCAACCGUAGUCAACAGCUGUGGGACCUUACCCCUUUUACCAAAUUUCUCUUGGCGAAAACAACUUUAUCGUACAAGCUUCGGACAUUAUUUCUUCAGCUUGUCAUGACCAUUAUCACCUUUAAGGAAUAUAAAAGCAACGACGGUAAAAAACAGGUGUCUGCGACUAAUGGGUGGGCGGUAGACAAUGUUCAACACGACUCGAUGUCUCCAUCGCCGUCGCCAUCUCUGCCCACAUCCAGCAGUUGGUUGGACGACACUUCGCAGCGAAUUAAACCCAAACAACGGAAUCGCUUGGAUUCUUCGAAAUCUAGUGACGAUCAGUCUCCCCACACAUCCGACUCUCAUGUUCCUUAUUGCGAAGUAAUUAACUGUGAGAUCGAAAAGUUUGUCAAUUUAAUUACAAGAGAUUACGUUCAGUCUUGGUACAAAGUGGUCUGUUCCGAUUCCACUAUAGUUGUUGACAUCCAUGAUGAAAUUCUGGAAAUCCUGUUAGAGUUGUGUCGACGAGCACGUACUGUCAACCGGUUGUCUGCAUGUACAGGGGCCAUCACAAUGUGCCGUGAACAUUUGAUGAAAUACCAGACCUCGUUUGCUACUUACAAGAUCCAGAUGUGUUAUGCAAUGUCAAGUGAUAAACUUUCACAGAAGAAAAAGCUACCAGGAUCUGUAGAAGAUGUAUUUGACCAAAAGUAUUCCCUGCAUCCCGCAUCAAAGGGCACUGAAGCAUCUUUUGACCAUGUCCGGGCACUCAUUGAACUCUUGAUUGACUGCUUAGAUAUAUUGCCAGCGGAUUUCAAGAACGUAGAUUCUUUGAAGAAAAUCCUUAUUGAAAUUUUUACAUUACAAAUUAUAAUGCCCCUCAUUGAUAUGUUUCAAGACCCGGAUUUUUUGCACGAAAGCAUUAUCAUGCUGCUGUCUAAGGAACAAGAGGAACUGGUUGAAAUAAGAAAAACUGAUGAAGAGACAGCUAGCAAAGAAACGCCGCCCCCACCACCACCACCUCCUUUACCACUGCCACCUGUUAUAGUCCAGGGUUCGACUCCUGAAAAACAGGACGUCACAAUCGUGGAAGCAAUACGGCCAAACAGCAUCCAGCUUGAGCAGAAAGCAUCAUCUUUUGAUGAGCCUAAAACUCUCUUAAAUCCUGAACAGGUAUUGUCUAAUCAGCAACAGGUGGAAACACAAGAAAGUCAACAACAGUCACGACUAACAACACCAGAAAUACAAGAGUCACAAACACAAACACCAGAACAACAAUCACACCUACAACCAACACCAAUACCACAACAACAGCAACAGAAACAAGAAAAUUCAUGCAUGCAAAAUUCUCUGGAGAUAAACGGUAACAAUUUGAAAUCAGGUGAAGAAAAACCUGCCACCGGUGAUUCAACUUUUGAAAAUGUCUUCAGUUUUCGAUCAAGAGAAGGCAGUCGGAUAUCUUUAGGUGGGUUGCCCUUUCUUUUCGGUGGCGAUAGACAAUUUUUUGGCUCAGGCAGUGACAGCAGAAAAGCUUCCAUGUCAGAUAACGAGUCGGUUACAGAUCAGCCCUCAUUUUCAAAUAACAACAGUAAAAGGUCUUCGUGUUCUGCUAACGAGGAUGUUGAUGCUCACGACAAUAAUGAGGAUAAUGAAAGUACAGACUUCAGUAAGAGUUUUUCUGUAGCGAAACCUGCUGAUCAAAAGGAUUCCUUGGAAAAUGAGAAAGUGAGUGGUGAAUGUGUAAAUAAAGAAUCGAACUGUGAUAAUAAAUCGGACCAUGGCUUCAUCAGGCGUUUAGAGCAGCGAAACAGUUUUUACUCUCUUCCUUUAUCGGAUAAAACACCCGGUAGUGAAAAAGAGAGCAAUCAAUCAGCUUUCGAAUUUGGUUUGGAUGAACACCAUGUUUCUUCUGCUAGCAGCAAGGAGCAAAAAUUAAAUGGGAUGAGAUCGAAAAGUUCGGACUCCAGUCCCUCAGGAAUGCGGAACACUUUUGAACGUAGUCCCUUUCAAACUUUGUGGCCAAACUCUGCGAUCCCCAGGUUGAGUCAAACCGAGGAUAGCAUUCGGACGUUUCCAUUUCUUCCUGGCAAUUCAGAGACCUCUUCUAAAACAGACAGCGAGUCGGAUGACUCUGGGCCAUCUGCCGACAAAAGGUGUCUUUUCCAAAAUAUCUCGGUGGUCGAGACGGAAUCACAUAAGGAACCCAGGGCUAACAAGGUUUACACCCUUUACGAAGUCCAGUAUGAUGCGUCAUAUGUGUCUGAAAAUGGGGAACUUUCUACAAAAACUGGCAAAGUGAAACGCAGGUUUCGAGAAUUCUGCACGCUACAACAGAAACUUGAAGAAAGGAACGUCUAUAAGAAAUGCUUGAAAGAUAUCAAAGGACCAAAAGGAUGGAAGCAUUCGCUGUUUGGUAACAUGGACCAGGAGAAUGUCACUCAGCGGAGGAAAUUUCUUGACAACUACUUGAAGAACUUAAUAAAGAAAGAAAGCAUCUCCAAUGGGCCUGAACUGAGGGAGUUCCUCGCCUAUGAGGGAGAUGCACACAUCGCUUAUGUGCGGCGCACCCGUGAAAUCAACAUGCCACGGAUUGAUAAAGCAUUUGUGAAAACGGUAUCUGGUGUACUGGACCGGAUAGCUACAACAGUUCUUCCACGAAGUUUGUCGCAAGACAAGACCUCCCCAUCUGGCUACUCUCCAUACCGUAAAGACUCCUUGUCGCCCAACAAACCCACAGAAGAAGAAGUAAAGAUCAUCGAAGAUUCGGAUCAAAUUCUAGUUGAUAUAGACAUUCCAAAUUAUGAGAGUUGGUUUCGGGUUGUGGAAGCUAACGUCAGCAAGCACAUUGAAAGCAUAAAAUGUCGUCGUGAUUCAUCAACAGAAGUGACCAAUCAGAGCUCUUCACCACACAGCCCACUCUCGACCAAUCAGAGCUGUUCUUCGCACACUCCAUCUUUGACCAAUCAGAGCUGUUCGUCGAGUAAUCUGCCAUCAGUUGACCAGACCUUUUCCUCGAACAGUUUGCACAUGACCAAUACAAGUUCUUCCUUACAUGGUUUCUCAAUGACCAUCGACAGCUGUUCUUCAUCCAACUUACCUUUGACCAAUGAGAACAAUUCAUCCUUACACACAUCUUCAGAUACCAAAGCCACAGAAAACAACACUGAUCCUUUUAGGGCACACAUCACAGAUCAAGAAACAGACCCAUUAAAUUCAGUCAGAGUUGAGAUGAAGGACAACCUAAUCUUGACAUCUGCAAUUCUCGACUUUGCGGUGCAGGCACUGCAAGGAUGCGACAGCUGGUUGAACAAGGAAGCUGCUUACGAGACGUUUGCGAUUGUUAGUGGAACUGUCUUGAACAAUUGGCUGCAGAAGAAACUUCACGAAGCCACUUCACAGACUCAGUGCCGUUACUAUCUGCAACUACUACGCGAGAAGCUCUGGCCCAAUACCAAAGCAGAAUGCAAGACGACACCUGUGAAAACCCCUGCCGAAAUGGAAGCUACCAAAGAAAAAGCCAAACAAUAUAUUUUUGACUUGUUUCCAUGUUUACUUGUGUUGUUCAUUGGGGAAGAAAAUGUACAACAUGCCAUCUCACAACUCAUCGCAGCUAUCCAGUGUCAGAGGCUCAACAGGCAUUUCCUCUUCUGUCUCUUGGACACCAUAUUCCUUCACCUGUUUCCUGAAGUAAAGUCCACAGAUUUCCAGCAAACGUAUGAACCCAACAACGUGGGAAGCUCUUUCUCCAGUGAUGACUUCACGUUGUCGUCUUUGAACAGCUGAUGAUUAAACCAAUUGCCAACAGCCGCAAAAUUAAAUCAAAUUACAACACACACACAUUCAUACACACACAUACACACACACACACACACACACACACACAUGUAUAUAUAUAUAAAAAUCAUGCUCACACACACAUGUAUGUAUAAAUAUUUUACAUUCACUUUUCCAUGCUCACAUGGGGCUGACAGAAUUUUUGUUGAGGCAGAUGUCAACCACUGGAUGCCUUUCCUGUCACAAACACUCACCUGUAUCCAAGCAAAGUUUUAUAUAAAGUCUAUAUAUAUAUAUUUGUAUAUAUAUAUAAUGCUAUAAAUCAUAACAUCUAUAUGAAUGUUGAGCUAAGAGGGGACAACACUUGUAUUGCUUUGGUAGUACUACUAAUUUAACUCAUGGACCGUAUCUAUACUUCAUGUUAGUGAUGGUGGCGGCGAGCUGGCAGAAACGUUAGCACACCAGGUGAAAUGCAAAGCGGUAUUUCGUCUGUCUUUACGUUCUGAGUUCAAAUUCCGCCGAAGUCGACUUUGCCUUCCAU
rnacentral:misc_RNA from 1 species